rnacentral:rRNA from 1 species
CAGUAGCCGCGGGAAUACGGAAGGUGCAAGCGUUAUCCGGAUUUAUUGGGUUUAAAGGGUCCGUAGGCGGACUUAUAAGUCAGUGGUGAAAGCCUGUCGCUUAACGAUAGAACUGCCAUUGAUACUGUAAGUCUUGAGUAUAUUUGAGGUAGCUGGAAUAAGUAGUGUAGCGGUGAAAUGCAUAGAUAUUACUUAGAACACCAAUUGCGAAGGCAGGUUACCAAGAUAUAACUGACGCUGAGGGACGAAAGCGUGGGUAGCGAACAGGAUUAGAUACCCGGGUAGUCCCUGUCUCUUAUAC